AUGCCAUUAACUAAUUAAAAAACCUUCUUGUUCCAUUCCACUUAUCAAGGGCCUUCAACAAUGUGGCACCAAAUGUGACAAUACAAAACACAUUUUUACUGUUCUAUAAUUUAUGCUAUGAAAUAUUAUUACAUCAGAUAAUAUAAACAACAAGAAACUAUGUCCAGAGAAUUGAAUCAUGAUUCCUAAUCUUUUUAGUCAAACUUUUAACUCUUUCUGCACUUGUUGUCACUGAACAAGACUAAAGUUUGUUUGCUUUGUAAUUCAAUUCUGUCAUUAUUUGUUGCUUUUCAAACUGUUUUACUAGGCCACUCUCGUACCUCAUCUGCUCAAGCUAUCCACAGUCCCUCCUAGAUAUUUCUUGUCCAUCAUAGGUGAAGUAGAAAAGAAUGAUCAAAACUGAAACAAGAGGCAACAACCCACAGUGAAGAAAACCUAAAACAACUGUCACCAAAGAUUUAUUCAAAA